CUUGCAGGAAGCGUGGCCCCCGCCCGGGAGCGGGAAAGGGAAAGAGAAAGUUGCUUCCCGGCCCAGAGUCUCCACAUCUGCCAGCUGUGCAGAAUCACCUGUACGGGAACCAGAAUCUCACUGGUAAAAACUCAGCGCCCCUUUCCCGCGCCCGGCCUGAAGGGUCAAAAUCUCCGCGGCGAGGACCCGGAAUCUGGAUUUAACCAGAUGAGGAGCCUCAAGUGACCAGUGUUAGUUGGAGGAGCUGCUGUAAUUCACACGACUUGUUUCAAUACUUGGUACCCACGCAAAGCUUUCCUUCGUCCUACUGAGAGUUUUCCUUUACAACCAGGAGAGUGGCCUUGGUUCUCUUUCCAAAGUGAUACUGAGGAAAGCAUCAGCUACAGAGCCUGCACCUCUCAGGACUGCUGAGUAAGAACUUGACAUACUGCCGCACCCCACACCUCCAGUGGGUGAACUGGAUGAAGGGGGUCAAAAGGUGCAAAUUUCCAAGUAUAAGAUAAACAAGUUCUGGGGAUGUAAUAUACAGGAUGGAAGUGACAUCACCCAGAUGGCAACAUAGGUCAUCCCUGACUUCACUUCCCCUCAGAAAAACAACUAAUAACAAUUCACGGACAAGACACCACUGAGAAUCCUGGAACUUGGGAGGGAGGUUGAAGCAUGCCCUGCACCACAGAGACCAAGACUGACUGCAUUAGAAGAUUAUUGCAGCGGCAUCUCAUCAGGUUUCCCUGCGUCAGCCCUUGCCUGUGUAAGGUCCACUGUCAACACAGCAACUGGAGUGAUCCUUUGAAAACAUAAGGCAGAUCAUGCCACUUAUCUGCUCAACACUCUCUAAUGCUUUUCAUCUUACUCAGAGUGUAAGUACAGUCCUUGCAGGGAUGCCUGGGCAGCUGCUCAGUGUGCCCUCCUCUCCCCUCCCCUCCUAACCUCUCUGACCUUGUUCUCCUGUGACUCCCACUUUUUCACUCCACUCCAGCCACGCCGAUGCCCUGCUGUUCCUCCAACAUGCCAGUCAUGCUCGGAGCAGAGGGAGCAGCGAGUGCAAAGACCUUACAAUUUGAGCACAGAGAUGGCGGGAAGUAAUCUGAAACUCCAGCACAUCUCACACUAGUGGUUAGAAAAUCCCUGAGAGGAAAAGGCCUUUGCACUUUGCACUUGCUGUUCCCUCUGCUUGGAGCACUCCCUGCAGAUAGCUUCAUGCUCUCUUCCUCUUUGCAGGUCUUUAAACAAAUGUCACCUUCCCAGUGAGGACUUCCUAGCCACAUUAUGUAAAAUUUUGGCCCCUAUCCCCAGUACUCCCUAUUCCCCUUCCCUCAUUUUUCUUCUGGAAAGUCCAGGUUAUAAGGAGAAAAAACAGAGCACUAGCAAAAGGUAAAGCCAGUAGCUUCUUGGGAAGACGAUCACAGUGACUAAUCCAGGGUCACAAAGGCCAGUGCCUCCACAGUCCGGGCAGGUGCCUAAUGUGAAUGAGUGGGACAAUAGGGAAUGGUGGUGACUGGGGAAAAAUUGACCAUAUUGAGCUCCAUCUGAAAGCUUUAAAAUUCAUAUUUUAUAAAAUGUCUAUGCAGUCCAUACAAAAUGUGCCUGCUAAUCUAUAGAUGCUGCUAUAAUAAAAUCACUAGAUGCCUGAUGUUUCAAGUUCCAGUACCUUGAUCUCAGCAAUAGAAGUAGUCACUUUUCUGAAAAGGAGGAGGUUGGCAGGGAAAUAAAUGCUCUCUUUUCCUCUCAGAGAUUUUCUAACCACUAGUGUUAGAAGUUCUGGAGUUUCAUACUACUAUCCCCUCAUCUCUGUGCUCAAAUUCUAAGGCAGCUGGAAGAGGGCACCAGACAAAGGUUAGACUACCCAGGGUUUAAAUCCAAGCUCUGCCACUUGUAUUGAGACUUUAGUAACUAAGUAACUUUUAAAGUUACUUAAUAUUCUUAGAGCUUAGUUUGCUUAACAACAACACAAGAGUAACACCUACCUCAUAAGGCUUCAAUGAGUGUUAAAUGAAAUGAUGGGGGCCUAAGUGCUGUCUACAGAAAAAAAAACAAACUAUAGAAAUGAGAUGUUACUAGCUUACCAAAGAACAUUCGAUCUACUACCAAGCAAUAUCAUUUUUCAACAAGUAGAUUAGUUUUCUAACAAGUCCACUAUUACAGAGUACAAUGAGAAUUAUCGUUUAUCCAUAUUUUCUUAAUUUUCUUUAUGUGAUAGAUUCUCAAAUUUUCCUACACUCCUUUUCCGGUGAACUCUAACAGAAGCAUCCAAGGAGACCAGAAAUACGAAAUUAGUAAGAUUAUCUACACUGCUUCAUUAAAUUUAUAUUACUUCAAUCACGUAUGAGAAGCCUCCUGAAUAUAUUCACAAAGCUCAAAGAGUGAAAGCUUUUUUUAAGAAGUCAAAUGACAGUGAUUUAGGAAAAAGCUUUCAAGUUUAUCUAAUUAUACAGCCCAAUUAAAAUUAGAUAAUAGCUGUAAAGUUUCUGACACAUAGGAAACACUCAGUAAAUGUUAACUAUUAUAAUUAAAUUUUAGUACAGUGAUAUAACUUUGUUUUUAUACCAUUAUUGUCAUUAUUCAAUUUGAAUAAAUACUUUAUAAAGUAAAACAGUGACAAUCAAAAGGUACUGAUGGAAGAGACUGCCCACUGAUGGCGGACAGGCAGGGUGCCUGUUACACACAGGCAGGCAGGUUGCACAUUCACGUGGUCCCCAUUCCUGAAAAUGUCGUUCUUCAUUUCAUUGCUGAAGGCACAAUAUACCUAUUUUAGUAAUUCAGCAAAAUUAGCGGCAGGUAAAAAUGGAAUAAGCAUUGCUCACAUUUACAUUCAGAAAUCUGCUCCUCUGUUCACUCUGAGCACAUUUGUGACAAAAAUCCAAAUCCUAUAGCUGAGAUUACCCGCAGCUUGUGUGUAUACAAAACAGGGAGACCAGCGAAUGGCCCUUGUCUAGUUUGCCUGUGUGCCACAAACUUUAUGAAUGAAGCAAUGCAGUAUUGGGUGUCAGCAGAACAAACGUGUCAAAGUGAAGAUAACAGCCACCCCUAACUAUCCCCCGAGUUUGUGGAGAGGCUCAAAAGCGUAUAGAAAGGAAAAACGUGAGAAAGCACUUUAGGGACAAUACGGCCAUAUCAGAAGAUAACAGAGCACUUGCCAUUCUCAUUUACCUGCACUAACCUCCUUAGCAAAGGCUUUGGAGUUUGGGUUACUUGGGGCAACUUUUUACCCACUUGGCAAUGACUUUCCUAUUUGUAAUCUGCCAUUGUCAUCGCUGUCAUUUGGCUGGAACCAAACUGGCCAACUGCAGGAGGCACUCCUUCAGCUUUACACCUUCCCACCCCCCGGCCAUAGCAUCAUGCCUUUCUCCAUGUCUCCAUGCUGGAGGCUUUGGUAAAAGGCACCAUUGGGAGCCACCAUUCUGGUUUCCCCUGAGGUACCCCAAGUCACCCUGCGCUGAUACCCAACUAUGGAAUGUCCAUCCAAUCUGUAGAGCAGGGGUACAGAGGGAUACCACCGCCCAGCAGGAAGGACGGUGUUUUAGGAAAUCACAGAGGCUUUCUGGAAGUCACAAUGAUUGGAGGGGCUACUGUCAUUUAGGGGGUAGGAGUCAGGGAUGCCAGACAUCCUAAAAUGCAUAGGAUGGCCCCACAAAACGAAGACUUAUUUUGCAUCCCACUUAACUUGCAGAUGUCCUAUGAAAUAUUAUCCAUGUAGAUUAAAAACCUAUUUUAAAUGUUCUGAAUCUGGGUCCUAUGUCUGUUUUACAUUUAAACCUCAAGUAUCCUGGGUAUCAUUUUAACUUAUUUUGAAUUUUUCAGGAAUGCAGCCACUGGGUAAAAUGAAGGAAGAUUUUUGCCAAAAGUUGUUUACCUGUUUAGAAUAUCACAUCACUGCCAUCCAGAAUGCCUAAGUGGCCAGAUGCCCCUUCCAGCCCACUGAAAUGGCUCUCACCAAGAUCUCCAAUGACCACCGUAUUGCUAAAGACAGUGUGUGUACUUUUCUGUCCUCCUGACCACUCGGCAUCUGAGAAUCCUUUCACAAUGUAAAUAUGUAUAAAAUCACUAGGAUGUACACUUUAAAUAUAUUUAAAUAUAUUUGUCAGUUAUACCUCAAAGCUGAAAUUAGAAUUUAAAAAAAAGAGUACAUGCUCUGAACUUCCUGUAUUUGAAUCCCAACCUUGUAUUAUCAUGUGACCUUGCACAAGUUACUUAACCAUGCUGUUCCAGCUUCCUCAUCUGUAGAAUGGGGAAAACUCCAGCACAUGGAAAGGAAUACACAAAUGAAGGCAUGGGGAGGACCUGGCACGUGGUAAGCAUGCAGUGACAUUACUAGGAGCAUAUUAAAAUGUCUAAGAGGCCCUGAAGAGAAGAAACCAGCGUUGCUUUAUUUACUUCAAUAUUUCCCAAAUUUAUUUAACCAGAGAACUUAGAAUACGACUUAGUUUAAGGAAACGCAUGUUACUAGAUCUCUGACACAUCUCAACUCGAAGCCUUCCAAGCAGCUCCAGACUCACCAUGCAAACACAUGUAGGCACCUCAACUUCAAUAUGACAAAAAUCAAACACAUUAUCUCCCACCCCAGCCUUCCCUCUACCACCUACCAUAACCCAGCCUCCCACACCAGCAGUCUGAGGAGUCGCCAAGGUUUUUCUCACCCACUGCUCACAUCUACUCUGUCACCACCUUCUGCAAACUCUGCCACCAUACUCACUCUCAGAGCUGCCCCUGCCUCUCCAUUCCUUCUCUCUCACCACUGGUUUCCCUGACCUCAGUCUGACUCCUCCGUUGUUGCCAGAACAAUCACUCCAAAAUGCCUCGUUAGUCAUACACAUCCCCUUCUUAAAAGGUUGCUCGUGACUUUCUGGCUAAAGAUUAAGCUCUUUAGCACAAAACACACUUCUGUACCACACAAAUAUCCACCCAUCCAUGUAUUUAGAGGUGCCCGAGUGUGCCAUGCUCCAUCACGCCUCUGUGCCUUUGCACACUGCUGCCUUCCUGGAAUGCCCUUCUGCACCAAGAUGGCACCUCCUCUGGGAAGACUCUCUCGUCCCCAUUACUAGUCUGAUAUAAAGGCUUCUUAUCUGUUACUUCCCAUCGUUGACUCCUUAUCACCCAUUUCUCUCCCGAAUGAUUAAGUCAGUCAUGGCAAUUCCAGUCUCUUGGUGGCGUCUGGUUUAAAAAUGGGCAUGUGAGCCAACCCUGAAAAUGCAAAGGGAAGAGUCACUGGUGGGAACAGGGAGAAACGUCUGAGAAAGGCUUCUUGCUUCUAAGAAGACCAUCCUGGAAAGGAACAACAAUGUCAAGAAAGAUCUGUAUCUGAAAGAGACACCAGGAAUUCUGGCAAUGCCGGCAGCAAAUGGUCUGCAGAGACUUCUGGCCAACUGAGAAGGGCCAGGGAUGAAUGAACCUGGGUUCCCAAAGCUGGAAUCCUCCCUGACGCGGGACUUGUUGUCUUGGAUAAUAAAUCACCUUAUUUAAACCA